UCCUUUUGGGAAAAGAUGAAAACUUUCUUUGUGGCUAUUUUGGCUACCAGCUAUUUCUCAGAUAUUUUUGGUCACCAUUCAUUGAGGGACGUUCCGUGCGCUUAUUAUCAGAAGACAUCUGUACAAAAGAAACGUUUAUGCUCCAUAAGAGUCAGCCCGUUAUGCGCUUCUAAUAAUGUUACAUAUUCUAAUACCUGCCUGU